UGAGGAAUAUUGGUCAAUGGACGAGAGUCUGAACCAGCCAAGUAGCGUGAAGGAUGACUGCCCUAUGGGUUGUAAACUUCUUUUAUACGGGAAUAAAGUGAGGCACGUGUGCCUUUUUGUAUGUACCGUAUGAAUAAGGAUCGGCUAACUCCGUGCCAGCAGCCGCGGUAAUACGGAGGAUCCGAGCGUUAUCCGGAUUUAUUGGGUUUAAAGGGAGCGUAGGCGGACGCUUAAGUCAGUUGUGAAAGUUUGCGGCUCAACCGUAAAAUUGCAGUUGAUACUGGGUGUCUUGAGUACAGUAGAGGCAGGCGGAAUUCGUGGUGUAGCGGUGAAAUGCUUAGAUAUCACGAAGAACUCCGAUUGCGAAGGCAGCUUGCUGGACUGUAACUGACGCUGAUGCUCGAAAGUGUGGGUAUCAAACAGGAUUAGAUACCCUGGUAGUCCACACAGUAAACGAUGAAUACUCGCUGUUUGCGAUAUACAGUAAGCGGCCAAGCGAAAGCGUUAAGUAUUCCACCUGGGGAGUACGCCGGCAACGGUGAAACUCAAAGGAAUUGACGGGGGCCCGCACAAGCGGAGGAACAUGUGGUUUAAUUCGAUGAUACGCGAGGAACCUUACCCGGGCUUGAAUUGCAACUGAAUGAUGCGGAGACAUGUCAGCCGCAAGGCAGUUGUGAAGGUGCUGCAUGGUUGUCGUCAGCUCGUGCCGUGAGGUGUCGGCUUAAGUGCCAUAACGGGCGCAACCCUUAUCGAUAGUUACCAUCAGGUUAUGCUGGGGACUCUGUCGAGACUGCCGUCGUAAGAUGUGAGGAAGGUGGGGAUGACGUCAAAUCAGCACGGCCCUUACGUCCGGGGCUACACACGUGUUACAAUGGGGGGUACAGAAGGCAGCUACACGGCGACGUGAUGCUAAUCCCGAAAGCCUCUCUCAGUUCGGAUUGGAGUCUGCAACCCGACUCCAUGAAGCUGGAUUCGCUAGUAAUCGCGCAUCAGCCACGGCGCGGUGAAUACGUUCCC
rnacentral:rRNA from 1 species